rnacentral:rRNA from 1 species
CAGUAGUCAUAUGCUUGUCUUAAAGAUUAAGCCAUGCAUGUCUAAGUAUAAACAGUAAUACAGUAAAACUGCAAAUGGCUCAUUAAAACAGUUAUAGUUUACUUGAUAAUAAGUUUUUACAUGGAUAACCGUGGUAAUUCUAGAGCUAAUACAUGAGUAAAAUCUUAACUUUUUUAGGAGAGAUGCAUUUAUUAGAUAAAAAAUCAAUACAUGCUUUUAAAGUAUGGAAUUUGGUGAAUUACAAUAACUUAGCAAAUCGCAUAGUGAAAACAGGCGAUAAAUCAUUCAAGUUUCUGACCUAUCAGCUUUCGACGGUAUGGUAUUGGCUUACCGUGGCAGUGACGGUUAACGGGGGAUUAGGGUUCGAUUCCGGAGAGGGAGCCUGAGAAACGGCUACCACAUCUAAGGAAGGCAGCAGGCGCGCAAAUUACCCAAUUCUAACAGCAUAAGAGAGGUAGUGACAAGAAAUAACAAUACAAGGCAGUUAAAAUGCUUUGUAAUUGGAAUGAUAGAAAUUUAAAUACUUUUUAAAGUAUCAAUUGGAGGGCAAGUCUGGUGCCAGCAGCCGCGGUAAUUCCAGCUCCAAUAGCGUAUAU